UCAUAUGCAUGCAUGACUUGAGUUCUUGAAUGCAAAAAUUUAUGAGUCUCACAUGAUAACUAGGGUUCCAAAACCAGGUUAAAAUUCUUGUAAAAAAGGCCUCUCAAUGCAUGAGGCUCUCGCGUUGUUGGAUUUGGAAUUUCCAGUUCUUGGAGGUUGGCUCACAACCUGAGCCUGUCACUUCUAGGAUCACAAUCCUGUAACCUCACUUAUGCACCAAGGUUUACUCUCCUGGUUAGACUUUUCGAUAUGGGCCUUUCUCUAGCGAGUCAUAAUGUUUUAGUCUCCCUUUGAUGAGUUGAAUUAUGUAUUACAAUAAAUCAUAACAUAGAGUGACCUGGGAAGUUAUUUUCCAUUCAAAAGGCUGGGGGAUGCCUAGAACUGAGGAAUUUUCAGCUUUGGGAUAAGAUUUGUUUAUUAGGAAUAUAUAACUUGUCUCCCUAGCAGGCUUUCUAUGGGUAAUAUGGGUAGAGAAGUCUAUUUUAAAAGGAAGAAACAUCCUCCAAGCGAGGAUGCAGUUUGUUCUUAAGGGUAUUUAGAAAUUGGAAGUGUUCCUUCCCCAUACCUAUACAGGGGACAAGACUACAAGGGUGCUGGAAUGGAACCCACUAGAAUUCAGCAGCAAUGCGGAACACUUAGCAGCACAAGUAGAAGAAAGGAAUUUGGCAUAAAAGGUAGGAAAGUUUGUAAUUUCUCAAGGAAGUGACAAGAAACGAGAGAAAAUAUUAAAGAAGCAAAGCUAUUGAUGAAUCUGAUUGCUUUACUCUAUUCCCCACUGUACAUAAUUGGGUAUAUAUAUAUCAAGCAACUUCAGCUGUAAAGUGUAAUCAGCUAAGUGCUAUUAACAGCAUAACCAAUUUACAACAAGCUGACUAAUUACAAUUGCACGUAUUAAAUGGUAUAAUGCUCAGCUGUCAGUUUUAAUGAUUAACAUAAACUGAUAUGGAGUUGGUUUAAUGUUCCACAAGACUCCUUUUUUUUUUCUUGGCUUGCACUUUUAGACAGAUUGCCUACUAGAAGCAAACAUCAAGGCUAGGGUCUCUCUACUCCUAUUGAGUGUCUACUUUGUGGAUCUAGCAUUAAGAAAAGGGACUAUAUGUUUCCCUCGAGUGUUCCAUUUUUAGCCAGCAUUUGCAUAUGAUAUUUCAAGCUUGUGAGAAAGGCCAUAAUCUCCAAAUCUGGAAGGUUGAAUUAGCAUGGCUGAUUGAGAAUAUUACGAGCAAAUCCCUGAUGUUAAUUAUCCUCAAAUUGGAUUGGAAAUCCUAUGAUAUUUUGUUUAGCAAGAAAGGAAUUCUCGAUUACAUGGGAAGCAGGGCAGGCAGGUUACUGAUUUGUUUAGGCUGACUAAAACUACAAUACUUGAUAGACUCUUUACUCAGAGUAAACUCCGACUAGUUCCUAAUCAGAUCAAUAAAGCUUUACUUAUAAAAACAAUAGAGAAGA